rnacentral:rRNA from 1 species
AUUGAACGCUGGCGGCAGGCCUAACACAUGCAAGUCGAGCGGAGCGGCGGACGGGAGAGUAAUGCCUAGGAAUCUGCCUGGUAGUGGGGGAUAAGGUCCGGAAACGGGCGCUAAUACCGCAUACUAUGAGAUAAGCCUAGGUCGGAUUAGCUAGUGGGUGGGGUAAAGGCCUACCAAGGCGACGAUCGGUAACUGGUCUGAGAGGAUGAUCAGUCAAACUGGAACGGGGACACGGUCAAGACUCCUCGGGGAGGCAGCAGUGGGGAAUAUUGGACAAUGGGGGAAAGCCUUGUCCAGCACUGCCACGGGUGUGACAAAGGUCUUCGGAUUGUAAAGCACUUUAAGUUGGUAGGCGUUACCAACAGAAUAAGCACCGGCUAACUUCGUGCCAGCAGCCGCGGUAAUAC